rnacentral:rRNA from 1 species
UUCUUGGAUUUAUUGAAGACUAACUACUGCGAAAGCAUUUGCCAAGGAUGUUUUCANCANUCAAGAACGAAAGUUAGGGGAUCGAAGACGAUCAGAUACCGNUCGUAGUCUUAACCAUAAACUAUGCCGACUAGGGAUCGGAUGAUGUUAAUUUUUUAAUGACUCA